CUGUAACUAUAUAUAAGGAAGGCUCAACAUUCAUAGCAACCAUACAACAACCUGUGACCAUCUGCAAAUUUGUGAAGACUUGAAGGUGUGAUCACUGUAACCAUGCUGAAGGUAGUAUUUGUGCUUGGAUGCCUCCUGAGCCUCGCACUGGCUCUUCCCAUGGACACAGAGCACAAACGACUUGCUCGGUCAAGGUCUGGCUCUGACUCUAAUUCAAAUGAGCGUUUCCCCACCUUUCCUAGGAUGACUUCGCAACAGUGGCUUCAGCUCUUUUAUAACAUCAUCCAGGCACAACAACCUGCUACUGCACCUCCGGCUACAACAACAACUACAGCUACAACUACUACCACAGUUGCCACUACAAAAUAAAAAUCAGUACUGAAUGAUCAGCUUUGUUUUGUGGCAGUUUUCCUAUUUCUCUUUUCAAAUUGAAAUGAUGUUGUCUUAACCAUAGUGUUGUCACAGUCAUCAUUGUAGUUCAAUUAAACGUGGAUGAAAGUCACUGUAUUCUCUGUACUAUCUUCUAAAUAAACUUCAUAAAU